AGGAAAGCAACUGGUCAUGAGAAACCAAACCAGUAACGCUCAUCAUGGGACCCGCUUGGCCCAAAUCCUGCCCAGGAAUUUCCCCCGCUGCUCCCUGUUCAGCUUUGUGCAGUGCCAGACCCAUCUUCUGCCCUUUUCUGAUCCUUAGCUUCACGGCAGGACCCACUGCUCCCAGCCCGUAAAUACUGAUCCCAAGGGAGGCAAUUGAGCUCCUGGGGCACCAGACAAGGUUUGGAUUGUUUCUGUGCUGGAUGGUGGUGGGAGUAUGUGCUGUGCAGACAGCUGGAUCCUGAGGAGC